ACGGGAGGCAGCAGUGGGGAAUAUUGGACAAUGGGCGAAAGCCUGAUCCAGCGACGCCGCGUGAGUGAAGAAGUAUUUCGGUAUGUAAAGCUCUAUCAGCAGGGAAGAUAAUGACGGUACCUGACUAAGAAGCCCCGGCUAACUACGUGCCAGCAGCCGCGGUAAUACGUAGGAGGCAAGCGUUAUCCGGAUUUACUGGGUGUAAAGGGAGCGUAGACGGUAUGGCAAGUCUGAUGUGAAAACCCAGGGCUCAACCCUUGGACUGCAUUGGAAACUGUCAAACUAGAGUGCCGGAGAGGUAAGUGGAAUUCCUAGUGUAGCGGUGAAAUGCGUAGAUAUUAGGAGGAACACCAGUGGCGAAGGCGGCUUACUGGACUGUAACUGACGUUGAGGCUCGAAAGCGUGGGGAGCAAACAGGAUUAGAUACCCUGGUA
rnacentral:rRNA from 1 species